UGGGGGAUAUUGCACAAUGGGCGAAAGCCUGAUGCAGCGACGCCGCGUGGGGGAUGAAGGCCUUCGGGUUGUAAACUUCUUUUGCUCUGAACAAGGCAUGCCAAUGGGUGUGUUGAGUGUAGGGGUUGAUUAGCGCCGGCUAACUACGUGCCAGCAGCCGCGGUAAUACGUAGGGCGCGAGCGUUGUCCGGAAUUAUUGGGCGUAAAGGGCUUGUAGGUGGCUGGUUGCGUCUGUCGUGAAAGCUCAUGGCUUAACUGUGGGUUUGCGGUGGGUACGGGCUGGCUUGAGUGCAGUAGGGGGGGCUGGAGUUCCUGGUGUAGCGGUGGGAUGCGCGGAUAUCAGGAGGAAUACCGGUGGCGAAGGCGGGUCUCUGGGCUGUUACUGACACUGAGGAGCGAAAGCAUGGGGAGCGAACAGG
rnacentral:rRNA from 1 species